rnacentral:lncRNA from 1 species
CGUAUAGAAAUUCUGUUGAAAAACGGAUAUUCCAACAAUAGCUAAGGCAAUUCAAACUAAACAUAAUCCGAUCCUUCGUUGUAGAAGAAAAAAAAAGUGGUCCAACAUGCUCUUGUCCAUUUUAGAUUGGUAUGGCUGUAUCUAUGACAAUUUAACCCUAAAUAUAAGAUUGCUCUUGAAUGUCGUAAAACUUUAGUUGUAAUAUAAGGACUCUGUGGCCCAAUGGAUAAGGCGCUGGUCUACGAAACCAGAGAUUCUGGAAGAAGAAAGAAAUCAAAUUCAAUUGGUUAGAGACUCGUGCUGAUAACGUGUUAUG